AGGGGGAGUAACGAUCCGGAAACGGGUGCUAAUACCGCAUAGUUUUCUUGAUCGCAUGAUUGAGAAAGGAAAGACGGCCUUUGUGCUGUCGCUUAUGGAUGGACCCGCGGCGUAUUAGUUAGUUGGUGAGGUAACGGCUCACCAAGACGAUGAUACGUAGCCGACCUGAGAGGGUGAUCGGCCACAUUGGGACUGAGACACGGCCCAAACUCCUACGGGAGGCAGCAGUAGGGAAUCUUCCGCAAUGGACGAAAGUCUGACGGAGCAACGCCGCGUGAGUGAAGAAAAGGUUUUUCGGAUCGUAAAACUCUGUUGUCAGAGAAGAACAAGUUGGAGAGUAACUGCUCCAGCCUUGACGGUAUCUGACCAGAAAGCCACGGCUAACUACGUGCCAGCCGCCGC
rnacentral:rRNA from 1 species